GACUGUAUGUGGAAAUAAAGCUUUUAAAAGGGUUGCUAAAUUAAAAUGAAACUGUUAGUGUGGGUCCUAAUCCAAUCCAACUGGUGUCCUUGUAAAGAAGAGGAGAUUAAGACACUGGAGGCACACCAAGGAUGUGAGCAAACAGAAAAUCAAUGUGAGGGCUUAGAAAUAAGGCAGCCAACUGCAAGCCAAGGAGAGGUCUCAGAAGAAACUAAACCUGCUGACAUCUUGACCUUGGACAUUAGCCUCCAGAACUGCAAGAAAAUAAAUUUCUGCUGUUUAAGCUGCCCAGACUGAGGUAUUUUGUUAUGGCAGCCUGAGCAAAUUAAUAUAAACACUGAAAGUGAAAUGUUCUCAAUGGCCAUAAAUGGAAGAAAAUGUUACCAGAGGUUUCGUCCGUGGUUACAGAGAAGGAGAAGAUAGAAGGUAGGGAAAUUUGAUGUUUUAAUUUAUACUUUCUUAUUUUGUUUAUUUUAAAAUUUUGAACCUUAUUGCUGCUGUAGUAAAAUAAACCAGCUAAUUUUAAAAAGUGAUGGAGAAUUUGUGUCAACUUAUGAAAUAUGCCCAGAGAUCUCCUUUGAGACCUACAAAGCUUCUAUUGAUUUAUUUAUCUUUGAUUCAUCAUUUUUUAUGAUGUAGCUUUAAAAAUAAAUUAUUUGUUUAAACUCUUUUGUUUGGUUCAGUUGCUGGUAACUCAGCAAUUUUCUAUGGUUCUUCUUUCAUAAAUCUUCUGGUUUAUUUCAUCUUCCUUCUAAAACUUAAGAAACCAUGAUUUUGUCACUCAAGAAUCGCAUUGGGACAUCAGAAAAACACUUCAAGUUUACAGCAUCUUCAAUGAGUCAACCCAUCCUUGUUCCCUGGACAUUAUUGAUCGAAGAAGACAAACUUGAUGUGAGGGAGGCCAAGUACCUUGAGAAGACAUGGCAACAUCUCUGCCCAACAGAGGCACACAGAGAGGAGGAGACGGUGAAGGCUAGUCCAUUCAGUGUCACUAAAAUAGUCUCAGAGCCAUUUGCUGUUACCUCUCCUAUCAUCGGCAACUCUUACGAACAAGUCACAGAGAAUGUGCAAGCAAAGCGUGCCAGAGAUGGAAAAUUAAAAAUGGAAUGCUAUCAGUGA
rnacentral:lncRNA from 1 species